rnacentral:rRNA from 1 species
AGAGUUUGAUCCUGGCUCAGGAUUAACGCUGGCGGUACGUCUAAUACAUGCAAGUCGAACGGACACUUCGGUGUCAGUGGCGAACGGGUGAGUAACACGUAGGUAACCUGCCCUUAAGACGGGGAUAACUUUUGGAAACGAAAGCUAAUACCGGAUUGAAAGUAGAAUAGGCAUCUAAUCUAUUUAAAAGGUCCUUUCGGGGACUACUUAAGGAGGGGCCUGCGGCGCAUUAGUUAGUUGGUGAGGUAAUGGCUCACCAAGACGAUGAUGCGUAGCUGGACUGAGAGGUUGAACAGCCACACUGGGACUGAGAACGGCCCAGACUCCUACGGGAGGCAGCAGUAGAGAAUCUUCGGCAAUGGGGGGAACCCUGACCGAGCGAUACCGCGUGAAUGAAGAAAUACUUCGGUAUGUAAAGUUCUUUUAUAUAGGAUGAAUGGUAUGGGUAGGAAAUGACCAAUAAAUGACAGUACUAUUUGAAUAAGCCCCGGCCAACUACGUGCCAGCAGCCGCGGUAAUACGUAGGGAGCGAGCGUUAUCCGGAUUUAUUGGGUGUAAAGCGUGUGUAGGCGGGAAAAUAAGUUUAAGGUUUAAGUCUGGAGCUCAACUCCAGUUCGCCUUAGAAACUGUUUUUCUUGAGUAUGGUAGAGGCAAGUGGAAUUUCUAGUGUAGCGGUAAAAUGCGUAGAUAUUAGAAGGAACACCAGUGGCGAAGGCGACUUGCUGGGCCAUUACUGACGCUGAGACACGAAAGCGUGGGGAGCAAAUAGGAUUAGAUACCCUAGUAGUCCACGCCGUAAAACGAUGGAUACUAAGUGUCGAGAAAUCGGUGCUGAAGUUAACACAUUAAGUAUCCCACCUGAGUAGUACGGUCGCAAGGGCUGAAACUCAAAGGAAUUGACGGGCACCCGCACAAGCGGUGGAGCAUGCUGUUUAAUUCGAAGAUACGCGAAGAACCUUACCUGGGCUUGACAUCUCUCUGAAACCUUUUGGAAACAAGAGGCCUCCUUUCGGGGACAGAGAUGACAGGUGGUGCAUGGUUGUCGUCAGCUCGUGUCGUGAGAUGUUCGGUUAAGUCCGAUAACGAGCGCAACCCUUGUCCUUAAUUGCUAACAUUAAGUUGAGAACCUUAAGGAGACUGCCGGUGAUAAACCGGAGGAAGAUGGGGAUGACGUCAAAUCAUCAUGCCCCUUACGUCCAGGGCUACAGGCGUGCUAUAAUGGCAGAUAUAAAAAGACGCAAAACCGUGAGGUAGAGCAAAUCUCAAAAGUCUGUCUCAGUUCGGAUUGAAGUCUGCAACUCGACUUCAUGAAGCUAGAAUCGCUAGUAAUCCCAGAUCAGAAUGCUGGGGUGAAUACGUUCCUCGGGUGUUGUACUCACCGCCCGUCA